GAAAAAGCACCUUUGGGACAAGGAAGAGAAUAGGAUGUUCAUUGUUCAUUAGUCUUUUUGAUGUCCCUAAAAAUCUACUUCAGAUUACAGACUCUGCGGAACAAUGUAGCAGUGUGAGGAGAAAGACUAUUUGCCUUUUAGUAGUGAUCUCAGCCCUUUAGACAAAUGGAAGGUCAACUCUCGACCCAACUUGUUGCAUUGUUGUGCCAGCUGUAUAGAGUAUAGAGCAGAACUAUCCAGGAUCAGGAUACUGAUUCACUUUCUUGCUGGAAGUACAGAUAGUUUUCAUUUAGCAACCACGAUUGGGACUGGCAAUUUAAUGAUUAAGCAAAGUUGCUGCUAAGUGCUUAUGGUCUUGCUUCAGCAUUUCUUUGGCUUUAUGGACCUGUGAAAGGCCUAAAUAUGAGGAUUGGUAGGAAAGUUACUUUUUCAUCACCAUCUUAAUUGCUGACAGUCACUGUACAAGGCAGUUGCUAAUGGAGAAGUACCUUUUUGUUCUGCAGGAAUUGGUAUUUACAUGAGGAUGGUGGAAUGCCUGUGGAUUAAGCAUUUGAAAUGUGCAUUUUAAACAUUGGUGUCUUUAAUUAUUGUUUCUCAGGUUUGACAUUCAGUUUGUUCUCUCAGAGCCAAAGAAAGAAUGGCCAGGCAAACAAGGAAAAAUCUCCCUCUCUUUGCUUUCUGAAUUUGUGAAAAGAAGUAAACAUGAGUCUAAAAUACUUAUAUGCAUUUGCGGUCCAUUGCCAUUUAUGGAACAAGGAAUACAGCUUUUGAAAACUCUUGGACACUCGGGUAAUGAUGUACAUUGUUUUACCACAUAACAAAAAGAGAACAUUGGAACUCCUGUACAUGUAUUUCAUCAUCAUAUUUAUUACUUCCAUUUUGAAGUUCGGCAAGAAAAUAUUAUGCAUGAAUAAUGUUCAUUUUAAUAUAAGUACUUGAAUUCUGUAUUCUCGGUCAAGAAAUAAUUUUAUAUUUUGCUUAUUUGUAAUUGUAUUUAUCUUUGCUACAAUGUGAACUGAAAUAUUUUAGAUAAAUCAGCUCAUUUUAUAUGCAUUGAGCAGAAUGAACUCUAACCUCCAUUGAGUGAGGUUUAGUAGCAUUCCUUUGCACUGAUAAGCACCAGAUACCUUUUCUUAAGUUAUAACUUUGUUACUGUAAAACACCUUACUGGCAAUAUAUUAGAAAAGUACAUAUAAAGUGGUUAACUCAGGAAAAAGAUUGGUUACAAUAUAAUCCUAUUCAUAUGAAGCUCUAGUGUUACAAAUGUCAACUUUGUGUUCUUACAAUACAUAAAUUUUAUAUAAUGAAUUACUUUUUGUAUAAGACUAAUAAAGCAAGGAAAUGUUACCUUAAAAGGAAAUAUUUGUAUUAUUUCAGUCUUCUGUAUUGACUUUAGGAGAUUAAAAAUGGCUUGACAUCCCAUAUUAUGGAAGGAUGGCCUUCUGAAGAUAGGUAGUCUUCCAAGACAGUCUUCUAGAGAAAAAUUGAAGAACUUACUUUAAAUUAGUUUGCUCUGGAAAUCUUGAUCGGGAAAUUCUAUUAGAUUUAUAUCCUUCUUUCCUCUAGGAGCUUAAGGCAAUGUGUACAAUGUUUCCCUUUUCUACUUUUCCACAACCACCACUCUGAAAAUGACUGAAAUUGGAUAGGAGCCUACAAUUUAACAUCUUGACGACAUUGGCCUUCUUUUCGGAAAUAUAUUUAAGAUUGUUUUGUAUCAAAGUGUGGAAAAAUGUAUAACAGGGUCAAUGAAAUAUUGAUUUUAAUGCUAUAAUUUAAAAAAUGUAAAUAGCUAAUAAUAAAACUUAGCAACAGUAAGAUGGGCAAACGUAUGCCUGUAUCACAAUGAAUCUAUAGCUGUAUUUCUCAAAGGGAACCAGUUUUUACUGAAUUUCAUAUCAAGGUUCUUCCCUCCCCUUGAGAUCCCACUUCCUCCAAAUUGUUCCCCUCCU